ACUCUUCUACCAGCCCACUGGGUUUGGCUGAUAAUGGAAUCGCUGCCUGAGAGUGGGUCAACCAGCUCAGUGCCUGGCACAACUCAAGAACUCAGGAAACACCUGCUAAAUCAAUGGGGGACCCUAAAGUGAGUGACAAGUAUCCUUGUAAGAGGAGAAACAUGGGGAAGAAGAGGCCACAUGAAGACAGAUGCAGAGGUUAUGAAGCCACAAGCCAAGUGAUGCCUGGAGCCACCAGAAGCUGGAAGAAGCAAGGAAGGAUGCUCCCCCAGAGCCUUUGGAGAUAGCACGGCUCUGACAACAGCUUGAUUUUGGACUUUUGGCCUCUAGAACUGUGAAAGAAUAAAUUUCCGUGAUUAAA